AGCCGGCGACAGGAUUUGAACCUGCAACCUGCUGAUUACAAAUCAGCUGCUCUACCAUUGAGCUACACCGGC
rnacentral:tRNA from 1 species